CCUACGGGAGGCAGCAGUGGGGAAUAUUGGACAAUGGGCGAAAGCCUGAUCCAGCCAUGCCGCGUGUGUGAAGAAGGUCUUCGGAUUGUAAAGCACUUUAAGUUGGGAGGAAGGGCAGUAAGCUAAUACCUUGCUGUUUUGACGUUACCGACAGAAUAAGCACCGGCUAACUUCGUGCCAGCAGCCGCGGUAAUACGAAGGGUGCAAGCGUUAAUCGGAAUUACUGGGCGUAAAGCGCGCGUAGGUGGUUUGUUAAGUUGAAUGUGAAAGCCCCGGGCUCAACCUGGGAACUGCAUCCAAAACUGGCAAGCUAGAGUAUGGCAGAGGGUGGUGGAAUUUCCUGUGUAGCGGUGAAAUGCGUAGAUAUAGGAAGGAACACCAGUGGCGAAGGCGACCACCUGGGCUAAUACUGACACUGAGGUGCGAAAGCGUGGGGAGC
rnacentral:rRNA from 1 species